rnacentral:rRNA from 1 species
GAUGAACGCUGGCGGCGUGCCUAAUACAUGCAAGUCGAGCGAACGGACGAGAAGCUUGCUUCUCUGAUGUUAGCGGCGGACGGGUUAGUAACACGUGGAUAACCUACCUAUAAGACUGGGAUAACUUCGGGAAACCGGAGCUAAUACCGGAUAAUAUUUUGAACCGCAUGGUUCAAAAGUGAAAGACGGUCUUGCUGUCACUUAUAGAUGGAUCCGCGCUGCAUUAGCUAGUUGGUAAGGUAACGGCUUACCAAGGCAACGAUGCAUAGCCGACCUGAGAGGAUGAUCAGCCACACUGGAACUGAGACACGGUCCAGACUCCUACGGGAGGCAGCAGUAGGGAAUCUUCCGCAAUGGGCGAAAGCCUGACGGAGCAACGCCGCGUGAGUGAUGAAGGUCUUCGGAUCGUAAAACUCUGUUAUUAGGGAAGAACAUAUGUGUAAGUAACUGUGCACAUCUUGACGGUACCUAAUCAGAAAGCCACGGCUAACUACGUG